AUGCACGCUGGCGGCGUGCCUAAUACAUGCAAGUCGAGCGAACAGACGAGGAGCUUGCUCCUCUGACGUUAGCGGCGGACGGGUGAGUAACACGGGGAUAACCUACCUAUAAGACUGGGAUAACUUCGGGAAACCGGAGCUAAUACCGGAUAAUAUAUUGAACCGCAUGGUUCAAUAGUGAAAGACGGUUUUGCUGUCACUUAUAGAUGGAUCCGCGCCGCAUUAGCUAGUUGGUAAGGUAACGGCUUACCAAGGCAACGAUGCGUAGCCGACCUGGGAGGGUGAUCGGCCACACUGGAACUGAGACACGGUCCAGACUCCUACGGGAGGCAGCAGUAGGGAAUCUUCCGCAAUGGGCGAAAGCCUGACGGAGCAACGCCGCGUGAGUGAUGAAGGUCUUCGGAUCGUAAAACUCUGUUAUUAGGGAAGAACAAAUGUGUAAGUAACUAUGCACGUCUUGACGGUACCUAAUCAGAAAGCCACGGCUAACUACGUG
rnacentral:rRNA from 1 species